rnacentral:rRNA from 1 species
GAUGAACGCUGGCGGCGUGCCUAAUACAUGCAAGUCGAGCGAACAGACGAGGAGCUUGCUCCUCUGACGUUAGCGGCGGACGGGUGAGUAACACGUGGAUAACCUACCUAUAAGACUGGGAUAACUUCGGGAAACCGGAGCUAAUACCGGAUAAUAUAUUGAACCGCAUGGUUCAAUAGUGAAAGACGGUUUUGCUGUCACUUAUAGAUGGAUCCGCGCCGCAUUGGCUAGUUGGUAAGGUAACGGCUUACCAAGGCAACGAUGCGUAGCCGACCUGAGAGGGUGAUCGGCCACACUGGAACUGAGACACGGUCCAGACUCCUACGGGAGGCAGCAGUAGGGAAUCUUCCGCAAUGGGCGAAAGCCUGACGGAGCAACGCCGCGUGAGUGAUGAAGGUCUUCGGAUCGUAAAACUCUGUUAUUAGGGAAGAACAAAUGUGUAAGUAACUAUGCACGUCUUGACGGUACCUAAUCAGAAAGCCACGGCUAACUACGUG